CCGCUGCUCAGCCAGCGAGCUGGUGGAGAGAGAUGGGGUGACCAGAGGCACACGAAAGGUUAGGAUCCAUGCCUGCUGUGAUCCAUGCCGAAAAUGAAAGGUGCUAAGCUCCCAGCUCAUCUAAGAAGCCCUGCACCAUAGGCGCUCAGAUCUGCAGGGCUUGGCUGUGGCUGCUCUCUGUCUAUGCCCAAAGGCUUUCUGGGUCGUCAACGGAAAGGACCUCAGAGGGCAAAAUCUUCUCAGGAAGCACCCAUCCUUUCCACCCCGGGGUGGGCCUGAGAAGCACGGAUCCCAGGCAGGAAAGGAUGCUGGAACUUUGGUGGCUUCAGGUGUGCAGCUGGGCUAGGAAAAAUAUUUGCAGCUGGGUAGGGAAGCCAGGCCUGCUAGAGAAAGAUGCUUCAGGUGCACGGAUGGAUAUAUAUGGCACAAACCUCGCUGGGCCACUCCCAGGCAAAGGCCAAAGAUGGAAGAGACGGCUGAGAGUCCCUUUCCGACUGGAAGGAUCAGCGGGGUGAGGUGCCUAUUGGUUGUAACAGCAACUCCAUGUGGAAGUAUCAGGCCAUUCCAGUGGGGAGGCUGUUAUUUUUGAUGGGUACUCAAGAGGCAUCUGGUGCCACACGGAACUCUAAGAGACAAGGAGGGAGAGGUCUUGACUCAAGCGGUGUAGAACAGUGACCAUUGCACUCGACAGAGGGAGGACGUGCAGCUAGGUAAUUUUAUCCCCUGGACCUAAUGGUCUUACGCCCCCCAACCCCUUUAGAUGUCCAUGUGUAUCACUUCAAUUGUGAAAUGCACAAUUAACAAUUAUCUUUGAUUCCUGCAUUGAGCAGUAGGGUUGGACUGGAUGGCCUUAGAGGCCCCUUCCAACUCAACUAUUCUAUGAUUCUAUGAUUCAUUGAUCUUCUCCCCCAUGUGCUGCCAUUCCAAGUUUUAAAACUCCUGUGAAGAGCAAAAGACCAGCCAACCAAGAAACACAAAACUGUUUGCCAACCCUGAUUUUUAAAGCACACGCACACCUCUGAGCAUGUGCAGUUUUGCAUUUUAAACUCCUUUAAAUUGCAGCAUCACGACCGCGGGAAUAAAAUGUACUUUGCUUCUGCUGCCCCAAUGCUAAACACGUUGACUUGGGAAUAAGCUCCAAUCGGUUGUAGAAAAGGAUAAUAUAUUUUCAAAGUAAAAAUAAUACAAUGAGCAUAAAAUUCUGUACGUGCCCAGAUGGCUACCUGCUAACUAUAUUUUGAAGAAGAAGAAGAAGAAGAAGAAGAAGAAGAAGAAGAAGAAGAAGAAGAAGAAGAAGAAGAAGAAGAAGAAUUUUAUUUAUUUAUUUAAUUACAUGUUUAUACCGCCCAAUAGCCAAAGCUCUCUGGGCGGUUCAGAAAGGAUGCCAUGACCAGUGUCAGGACUGGCACGGGACUCUGUUCCUAGGCUGGCCCAGGUUCUGAGGUCCAGGGCGGUUUGCCUGUGCCCCAUCACCUCCUUCUCCCUAGGUGGUCAUUUGGGGAGGCAUCCAGGCCUUUGGCUCAGCCAGGAAGCCACAAUGGCGGUCGCAGCUGAAGGGCGUCGUCUGCUCUCUCGGACAGAAGCCAUUCGAGGGCACACGGCUAUGACCUAUGAAUUGACAGCCAGUUCUCCAGCUGCAUCCUGGCUGUCGGUUUUGUAGGGCACAAGUGUGUCCACCUCCGUGCCACACUACUACCACCACCACCGAGAAAGAGGCUCCAGCUCUGGGAAUCAAGGGGUUAAAGGGGAAGAAGAAGGGGGGGUUCCCAGUUAGCCACACCUCCUUCCCCUAAUUCCAUCCCUUUUCCCAGACCACUCAUGGUUUGGUUCCCCCCCCCCCCCCCAGGUUGAAAUGCCUCUCCUAAGGCAGUAAGAGCUUGAAGCUAGGGUAGCAUUUGGGGGUGUUUAGCUCCACCCCUUUUGCUGUUGGCUGGAAUGGGGUCUCCAGUUUUUCUCCAAAAAUCAAAUUUAGCCUUGGGCUGAAAGAGGUCCUGGAACCUGGGGUUAAAGCGUUGGGCAAUGAAUGGAGAGUUCAGGGUUCCAAUCCCCACUCAGCCAUGAAGCUCACUGAGUGACGUGGGGCCGGUCACCGUCUCUCAGCCUGACCUACCUUGGAGGGCUGUUGUGAAGAUAAAAUCAGGUGCAUGAGGAGGAGGGAGCCGGGUAUGCCUUGGAAAUACACGUGGCUGUCCAGUCUAGAGAGGAAAUAACAUCUUCCACACAUUCCCCCCCACCCCACCCCAAGUCAAGUGUAUCACUAGAGGAUGAGGAUGCACUGCAACACUUUGUUGCACCUCUGACGUGCCAGCUGUCCCAUCCAAAGUUUUAUUCUUUGGCUUUUUUAAAAAAAACCCGCUCUUGUGGUUUUAAACGUUUUCAACACUUUACUCGGACUUUAUUUGUGUGUGAUGGUCGUUUUCUGAAUUGUUUGUAAACCGCCGUGGCUGGUUCCAGCAAGGAGGUAUAAAAAUGCAAUAAACACAGAGAGAAAUAAA